CAGCUGAUGUCAUGCACACACUGCAACCGGAAAUAAACUGGGACACAAUUAGAAUGUUUACGUUUAAAACUGUGAAAUGGUCUAAAUAUUGUACAUUUGUGACAUCACAAAAUUACGGAAAUCCUGAUGGCUUUUUUCAAACGUUUCUGAAUACGGGCUGUGUGUAUUUCUCCAUGGAUUGAGCUUUUCAAUACUUUCACAGUAUUAAUAUAGCACUUAAACCUGCUUUAUAAUAAAAAAA